rnacentral:piRNA from 1 species
UCAUAUACAGGUUGAAGAGCGUAGGCGA